rnacentral:ncRNA from 1 species
CCUGUGUUAUUUAAAUAGAGGCGUAUAAUUUGAGGAUAUGGCUCAAAGUUUCUACCAGACUGCCGUAAAUAGUCUGACUACGCAAGAGAUAUAUGUGAUC